GAUGAACGCUGGCGGCGUGCCUAAUACAUGCAAGUCGAGCGAACGGACGAGAAGCUUGCUUCUCUGAUGUUAGCGGCGGACGGGUGAGUAACACGUGGAUAACCUACCUAUAAGACUGGGAUAACUUCGGGAAACCGGAGCUACUACCGGAUAAUAUUUUGAACCGCUUGGUUCAAAAGUGAAAGACGGUCUUGCUGUCACUUAUAGAUGGAUCCGCGCUGCAUUAGCUAGUUGGUAAGGUAACGGCUUACCAAGGCAACGAUGCAUAGCCGACCUGAGAGGGUGAUCGGCCACACUGGAACUGAGACACGGUCCAGACUCCUACGGGAGGCAGCAGUAGGGAAUCUUCCGCAAUGGGCGAAAGCCUGACGGAGCAACGCCGCGUGAGUGAUGAAGGUCUUCGGAUCGUAAAACUCUGUUAUUAGGGAAGAACAUAUGUGUAAGUAACUGUGCACAUCUUGACGGUACCUAAUCAGAAAGCCACGGCUAACUACGUG
rnacentral:rRNA from 1 species